GUCAACGGCCAUACCCUGCUGAAAGUACCGGUUCUCGUCCGAUCACCAAAGUCAAGCAGCAUCGGGCACGGUCAGUACUUGGGAGGGUGACCACCUGGGAACACCGCAUGCUGUUGGCA
rfam:Stegodyphus mimosarum contig87318, whole genome shotgun sequence.